GGGCGAUUAACUCAGCGGCUAGAGUACCGUCUUCACACGGCGGGAGUCACUGGUUCGAAUCCAGUAUCGCCCA
rnacentral:tRNA from 1 species